UGUGUGGUUCAAGUGGUAGAACACCUGCCUAACAAGCAGGAGGCUCUGUGUUCAAAUCCUAGUACCACAA
rnacentral:tRNA from 1 species